rnacentral:tRNA from 1 species
CGAGGGGUGGGAGAGUGGUUUAUUCCAGAUGCCUCGAAAGCAUCCAGGGUCGCAAGGCCCUCGGGGGUUCGAAUCCCCCCCCCUCGGCCA